GAUGAACGCUGGCGGCGUGCCUAAUACAUGCAAGUCGAGCGAACAGACGAGGAGCUUGCUCCUCUGACGUUAGCGGCGGACGGGUGAGUAACACGUGGAUAACCUACCUAUAAGACUGGGAUAACUUCGGGAAACCGGAGCUAAUACCGGAUAAUAUAUUGAACCGCAUGGUUCAAUAGUGAAAGACGGUCUUGCUGUCACUUAUAGAUGGAUCCGCGCUGCAUUAGCUAGUUGGUAAGGUAACGGCUUACCAAGGCAACGAUGCAUAGCCGACCUGAGAGGGUGAUCGGCCACACUGGAACUGAGACACGGUCCAGACUCCUACGGGAGGCAGCAGUAGGGAAUCUUCCGCAAUGGGCGAAAGCCUGACGGAGCAACGCCGCGUGAGUGAUGAAGGUCUUCGGAUCGUAAAACUCUGUUAUUAGGGAAGAACAAAUGUGUAAGUAACUGUGCACGUCUUGACGGUACCUAAUCAGAAAGCCACGGCUAACUACGUG
rnacentral:rRNA from 1 species